rnacentral:rRNA from 1 species
GCAAGUCGAACGGUAACAGGCCGCUGUCAUGCUUUCUUUGCUAACUUGGCGCUGACGAGUGGCGGACGGGUGAGUAAUGCAUAGGAAUCUGCCCAGUAGUGGGGGAUAACGUGGGGAAAUCCACGCUAAUACCGCAUAUGUCCUACGGGACAAAGCAGGGGACCUUCGGACCUUGCGCUAUUAGAUGAGCCUAUGUCGGAUUAGCUAGUUGGUAGGGUAAAGGCCUACCAAGGCGACGAUCCGUAGCUGGUCUGAGAGGAUGAUC